rnacentral:rRNA from 1 species
GGUUUAAUUCGAUGAUACGCGAGGAACCUUACCAGGCUUAAUGUAGGUUGCAUUAGACAGAGAUUGUUUAUUUCUUCGGACUACUUACAAGGUGCUGCAUGGUUGUCCCGUCAGCUCGUGCCGUGAGGUGUCAGGUUAAGUCCUAUAACGAGCGCAACCCCUGUCGUUAGUUGCCAGCAUGUAAAGAUGGGGACUCUAACGAGACUGCCGGUGCAAACCGCGAGGAAGGUGGGAUGACGUCAAAUCAUCACGGCCCUUACGUCCUGGGCUACACACGUGCUACAAUGGUAUGGACAGAGAGCAGCCACUGGGUGACCAGGAGCGAAUCUACAAACCAUAUCACAGUUCGGAUCGGAGUCUGCAACUCGACUCCGUGAAGCUGGAAUCGCCAGUAAUCGCGGAUCAGCACGCCGCGGUGAAUACGUUCCCGGGCCUU